UCAAAUAUGAAAGAGCAAUGCACAGAAAC
rnacentral:piRNA from 1 species